rnacentral:rRNA from 1 species
UACGUAGGGGGCAAGCGUUGUCCGGAAUCAUUGGGCGUAAAGAGCGUGUAGGCGGCCCGGUAAGUCCGCUGUGAAAGUCGGGGGCUCAACCCUCGAAUGCCGGUGGAUACUGUCGGGCUAGAGUGCGGAAGAGGCGAGUGGAAUUCCUGGUGUAGCGGUGAAAUGCGCAGAUAUCGGGAAGAACACCCGUGGCGAAGGCGGCUCUCUGGGACGGUACUGACGCUGAGACGCGAAAGCGUGGGGAGCGAACAGG